AACGCACAUUGCGCCCGCCAGUAUUCUGGCGGGCAUGCCUGUCCGAGCGUCAUUUCAACCCUCAAGCCCUGCUUGGUGUUGGGGACCGGCUUCCCGCGGGGCGUCUUGGCCUAAGCCCGAGCUCGCCCCCGCCAGCCGCCCCUGAAAUGGAUCGGCGGCCUCGCUGGCGCCUCCCCUGCGUAGUAGCAACAGAACCUCGCAACGGGAGCGCGGCGCGGCCACUGCCGUAAAACGCCCAACUUUUCUAAGAGUUGACCUCGGAUCAGGUAGGAAUACCCGCUGAACUUAA
rnacentral:misc_RNA from 1 species